rnacentral:rRNA from 1 species
GCUUGUCUCAAAGAUUAAGCCAUGCAUGUCUAAGUAUAAAUGAUAUACAGUAAAACUGCGAAUGGCUCAUUAAAACAGUUAUAGUUUAUUUGGUAAUCGAAUUUACAUGGAUAACCGUGGUAAUUCUAGAGCUAAUACAUGCUGUAAAGCCCGACUUCUCGGAAGGGCCGUAUUUAUUAGAUAACAAACCAAUAUUCCUCGUGUCUAUUGUGAUGACUCAUAAUAACUGAUCGAAUCGCAUGGGCCUUGCCCGCGAUACAUCAUUCAAGUUUCUGCCCCAUCAGCUUUCGAUGGUAGUGUAUUGGACUACCAUGGCAGUAACGGGUAACGAAGAAUUAGGGUUCGAUUUCGGAGAGGGAGCAUGAGAAACGGCUACCACAUCUAAGGAAGGCAGCAGG